UACUGCUUUGGCUGUACAUAUACUAAAUUUGGAACGAUACAGAGAUUAGCAUGGCCCCUGUGCAAGGAUGACAUGCAAAUUCAUGAAGCUUUCCAUAUUUUU
rfam:Octopus bimaculoides Scaffold65889_contig_403, whole genome shotgun sequence.